CUUGUUGGUUAAAUUACUGAGGCGAUCAGGUCGUGUGAUUGCUACAGCGCGGCUGUUUUUCUUUCCUUUGCUCCAGCCGUGGUGAGGAGACGCGUGAGUGCAUCCGCCGUGCAGUACAGCGCCUCCAAGUUCUGGGGGUUUGAUUGCUGCCGUGCCCUCUCGGGGACCAACCGCCUGCUUUGG